rnacentral:rRNA from 1 species
AUGAGGCGGUGGCAAGUUCGAUCUGGUUGGUGGGCGGCCGGCGGCGACAUGGUUGGAGUCGGUGGUCUUGGAGGUUCUUCUCCAAGUUCAGUGGCUUCCCACCAUUGUUUGCUCCGUCAUCAGCAGCCUCACCGUGCAUUUUGCUUCUCCUUGAAUGUUGGUCCCCCCCCCAGUGCCACAUUUGCCUUUGUGGAGCUCGGCGACGCGAGUUGGUGGUGCCCUGGUCAGGCUUGCCAGGCGGCAAUGGCGACGGUUGUAAAUCUUUGCUCUUGGGAGAGCGUUUGCAUCGUCCAACGGAUCGGCGCCUCGUGCCAGGCGAGGGGCUAG